UGCUGCUUGACCCCAAUACAAACUCGACAGUAGUUCCAAAUAGCCUGAAAACGGCACUUUCAAUUUUUCCAUCCUACAAGAUCUAAAUAAUUCUUGUCGUAAAAUGGGCAAAUGGUCUGAGGUGCCUGACGUCCAGGCAUUCUUUUACACAUCAGUCCCUUCCUAGUCUCUGUUCCCAAUGCAACUCGUCCCAAAUCUUCCUCCUUUCCCUCCCGCCUGUCCCCUCAGUCCCAACCCCAAGCGUCGCUGAGUCUUUCUAAUCUUCCUUUCUACAGACCCAUCUGACCUCUCCCCUCCUCCCCAGGCUGCUCCUCGCCAGGCCGAGCUAGGUCCCAAUUCUUCCUCAGCCUCCGCUCCUCCACCCUAUAAUCCUUUUAUUACCUCCCUUCCUCACACCUGGUCCGGCUUACAGUUUCGUUCCGUGACUAGCCCUCCCCACCUGCCCAGCAAUUUACUCUUAAAAAGGUGGCUGGAGCUAAAGGCAUAGUCAAGGUUAAUGCUCCUUUUUCUUUAUCCCAAAUCAGAUAGCGUUUAGGCUCUUUUUCAUCAAAUAUAAAAAUCCAGCCCAGUUCAUGACUCAUUUGGCAGCAACCCUGAGGCACUUUACAGCCCUAGUCCCUAAAAGGUCAAAAGGCCGUCUUAUUCUCAAAAUACAUUUUAUUACCCAAUCUG
rnacentral:antisense_RNA from 1 species